GGCCCGCAUCCAUAGCAAACCCUGAAGAGUGAGAAGACUUCUUCUUCCAGUUCUAGAAGGAACCCCCAAGGAAGCAGCUUCCUGCUAGCGGCAAACACUUCUGGGUGGAGGCUGGAGCCGUGUCGAUGCUGACCUACUUGUCAGAGGCGAGGCCGGAACUGCACCUCAAAACUCUCCUUUACACCUUCCUCUCCCUCAGCUUCUGAGGCAGUCAUCCAGGUCUGUAAGGGUUUUGUUUAUUGUUCAUUCAUGCGUUGUUUCCCUUCACAUUCUUUUCUUCUUGGACCUUUCCACAGCGACCCCUCCCUUGAAACAGCCUCCUAAUUGUAUUCCCCACUUUCAAUGCCUCCUCCAGUUUAUCCACCCACAGGUUCAUUUUCCUGUGACAACACUUUGAUCAUAUCGCUGCUGCUAAAACUACAUUGUUGAUAGAUGUCUCAGCUUGGCAUUCAGGGAUCUCCACAAUGAGAAUCUCAAUGAGACUAAGAGGCAAACUGGUGCAGUAAAAAGAACUUGACCCUCAGAUGCAAACUGACAUGAGUUCAAACCCUGAUUUUCCCACAUUCUAAUUGUAUACUUCUGAGGCUCAUUUUUUUGGUCUGAAAAAUGGGGGUAAUAAAAUAUAUCUCCGAGGGCA
rnacentral:lncRNA from 1 species